GACAGAGGGGGCAAGCGUUGCUCGGAAUUACUGGGCGUAAAGGGCGCGUAGGCGGGAUGGCAAGUCGGUCGUGAAAUCCCUCGGCUCAACUGAGGAUCGUCGAUCGAUACUGCCGUUCUUGAGGAUUGCAGAGGAGACUGGAAUUCCCGGUGUAGCGGUGAAAUGCGUAGAUAUCGUAAGGAAGACCAGUGGCGAAGGCGGGUCUCUGGACAGUUCCUGACGCUGAGGCACGAAGGCCAGGGGAGCAAACGGG
rnacentral:rRNA from 1 species